CUACGUAGGGGGCGAGCGUUGUCCGGAAUGACUGGGCGUAAAGGGCGUGUAGGCGGCCGAUUAAGUCUGGAGUGAAAGUCCCGCUUUCAAGGUGGGAAUUGCUUUGGAGACUGGUUGGCUUGAGUGCGGAAGAGGUAAGUGGAAUUCCCAGUGUAGCGGUGAAAUGCGUAGAGAUUGGGAGGAACACCAGUGGCGAAGGCGACUUACUGGGCCGUAACUGACGCUGAGGCGCGAAAGCGUGGGGAGCGAACAGGAUUAGAUACCCUGGUAGUCCACGCUGUAAACGAUGAAUGCUAGGUGUAGGGGGUAUCGACCCCUCCUGUGCCGGAGUAAACGCAAUAAGCAUUCCGCCUGGGGAGUACGGCCGCAAGGUUGAAACUCAAAUGAAUUGACGGGG
rnacentral:rRNA from 1 species